CCUACGGGGGGCAGCAGUGAGGAAUAUUGGUCAAUGGACGAGAGUCUGAACCAGCCAAGUAGCGUGAAGGAUGACUGCCCUAUGGGUUGUAAACUUCUUUUAUAUGGGAAUAAAAUGUUCCACGUGUGGGAUUUUGUAUGUACCAUAUGAAUAAGGAUCGGCUAACUCCGUGCCAGCAGCCGCGGUAAUACGGAGGAUCCGAGCGUUAUCCGGAUUUAUUGGGUUUAAAGGGAGCGUAGGUGGAUUGUUAAGUCAGUUGUGAAAGUUUGCGGCUCAACCGUAAAAUUGCAGUUGAAACUGGCAGUCUUGAGUACAGUAGAGGUGGGCGGAAUUCGUGGUGUAGCGGUGAAAUGCUUAGAUAUCACGAAGAACUCCGAUUGCGAAGGCAGUUCACUGGACUGCAACUGACACUGAGGCUCGAAAAUGUGGGUAUCAAACAGGAUUAGAUACCCUUGUAGUC
rnacentral:rRNA from 1 species